ensembl:miRNA predicted gene, 26194
UUGUUUCUAGCUUCUGGCUAUUAGAAAUAAAGCUGCUCCUUAUUUAUAAUAGCCAGACGCUGAAAAGAACC